UGUUUGUAAACAUAACAGAUGAUGAUGUUGAGGACUAAGGAGUACCAAGUCAGCAACCCUGGAAAGUCUGAAGCUAUCAGUUGAUUUUGUGGAUGCAUAGCUGGAAAGUGUCGAUGUUGUUUAGAUGUUAUGGAGACUGUGGAUGUUUAGGUAGUUAGGUGGCACUUGCUUAGUUUAUUUUUUUUAUAUGAGUUUUGGUGAAACUGAAAGAAGAUGUAAUCUACUAAUCUUUAUCUUUUGAAUUGUGUUUAAGAAUGUUAUGAAUUUGGAUUGUGUAUGGAAUAUUGGAAUGUGAAUGUCUGUAGCCUGUAGGUAGGUUUGAA